UACGUAGGGUGCAAGCGUUGUCCGGAAUUAUUGGGCGUAAAGAGCGUGUAGGCGGCCCGAUUAGUCCGCUGUGAAAGUCCAGGGCUCAACCCUGGAAUGACCGGUGGAUACUGUCGGGCUAGAGUCCGGAAGGGCGAGUGGAAUUCCGUGGUGUAGCGGUGAAAUGACGCAGAUAUCAGGAGGAACACCAAUGGCGAAGGCAGCUCGCUGGGACGUGACUGACGCUGAGAACGCGGAAAGCGUGGGGAGCAAA
rnacentral:rRNA from 1 species